rnacentral:tRNA from 1 species
AGUAUGGUGCCUGAUUAAAGGGUUACAAUGAUAAAGUAAAUAAAGCAUUUUCAAAUGUUCAUACUG